AUGUGUUAAAAUAAAUAAGAACUAAAAUUGGAACGAUACAUAGAUGAUUAGCAUGGCCCCCGAGCAAGGAUGACAAGCAAAAUCGUGAAGCGUUCCAUAUUUUU
rfam:Schistosoma curassoni strain Dakar, Senegal genome assembly, scaffold: SCTD_scaffold0004691